GUACUGCUCAGGGGUCCCAUAAUAGGACGAAACGGCCGUCCAGUGC
rnacentral:hammerhead_ribozyme from 1 species